AUUGAACGCUGGCGGUAUGCCUUACACAUGCAAGUCGAACGGUAGAGGGGCAACCCUUGAGAGUGGCGAACGGGUGAGUAAUACAUCGGAACGUGCCCAGUCGUGGGGGAUAACGUAGCGAAAGCUACGCUAAUACCGCAUACGACCUACGGGUGAAAGGGGGGGAUCGCAAGACCCCUCGCUAUUGGAGCGGCCGAUAUCAGAUUAGGUAGUUGGUGGGGUAAAGGCCUACCAAGCCUGCGAUCUGUAGUUGGUCUGAGAGGACGACCAGCCACACUGGGACUGAGACACGGCCCAGACUCCUACGGGAGGCAGCAGUGGGGAAUUUUGGACAAUGGGCGCAAGCCUGAUCCAGCAAUGCCGCGUGCAGGAAGAAGGCCUUCGGGUUGUAAACUGCUUUUGUCAGGGAAGAAAUCCUCUGGGUUAAUACCUCGGGGGGAUGACGGUACCUGAAGAAUAAGCACCGGCUAACUACGUGCCAGCAGCCGCCGUAACAC
rnacentral:rRNA from 1 species